GGAGUUAGCCGGUGCUUCUUCUGUGAGUGAUGUCCUUCCUGCCGGUUAUUGACCCGCAGGCCUUCUUCCUCACUGAAAGUGCUUUACAACCCGAAGGCCUUCUUCACACACGCGGCAUGGCUGGAUCAGGGUUGCCCCCAUUGUCCAAUAUUCCCCACUGCUGCCUCCCGUAGGAGUCUGGGCCGUGUCUCAGUCCCAGUGUGGCUGAUCAUCCUCUCAGACCAGCUACGGAUCGUCGCCUUGGUGAGCCGUUACCUCACCAACCAGCUAAUCCGACAUAGGCUCAUCCGAUAGCGCGAGGCCCGAAGGUCCCCCGCUUUCCCCCGUAGGGCGUAUGCGGUAUUAGCCUGGGUUUCCCCAGGUUAUCCCCCACUACCGGGCAGAUUCCUAUGCAUUACUCACCCGUCCGCCGCUCGCCACCAGGGAGCAAGCUCCCCGUGCUGCCGCUCGACUUGCAUGUGUUAGGCCUGCCGCCAGCGUUCAAUAUGAGCCAGAAUCGAACCCUGA
rnacentral:rRNA from 1 species